CAGUCGCCGCGGUAAUACGGAGGAUCCAAGCGUUAUCCGGAAUCAUUGGGUUUAAAGGGUCCGUAGGCGGUCUUGUAAGUCAGUGGUGAAAGCCCAUCGCUCAACGGUGGACCGGCCAUUGAUACUGCAGGACUUGAAUUAUUGGGAAGUAACUAGAAUAUGUAGUGUAGCGGUGAAAUGCUUAGAGAUUACAUGGAAUACCAAUUGCGAAGGCAGGUUACUACCAAUUGAUUGACGCUGAUGGACGAAAGCGUGGGUAGCGAACAGGAUUAGAUACCCGAGUAGUCCCUGUCUCUUAUAC
rnacentral:rRNA from 1 species